AGAGUUUGAUCCUGGCUCAGGAUGAACGCUGGCGGCGUGCCUAACACAUGCAAGUCGAGCGAUUUACUUCGGUAAAGAGCGGCGGACGGGUGAGUAACGCGUGGGUAACCUGCCCUGUACACACGGAUAACAUACCGAAAGGUAUGCUAAUACGAGAUAAUAUGCUUUUAUCGCAUGGUAGAAGUAUCAAAGCUUUUGCGGUACAGGAUGGACCCGCGUCUGAUUAGCUAGUUGGUGAGGUAACGGCUCACCAAGGCGACGAUCAGUAGCCGACCUGAGAGGGUGAUCGGCCACAUUGGAACUGAGACACGGUCCAAACUCCUACGGGAGGCAGCAGUGGGGAAUAUUGCACAAUGGGCGAAAGCCUGAUGCAGCAACGCCGCGUGAGCGAUGAAGGCCUUCGGGUCGUAAAGCUCUGUCCUCAAGGAAGAUAAUGACGGUACUUGAGGAGGAAGCCCCGGCUAACUACGUGCCAGCAGCCGCGGUAAUACAUAGGGGGCAAGCGUUAUCCGGAAUUAUUGGGCGUAAAGGGUGCGUAGGCGGUAUAUUAAGUCUGAGGUGAAAGUUCGGGGCUCAACCCCGUGAUGCCUUGGAAACUGAUAAACUAGAGUGUGGUAGAGGCAAGUGGAACUCCAUGUGUAGCGGUAAAAUGCGUAAAUAUAUGGAAGAACACCAGUGGCGAAGGCGGCUUGCUAGGCCAUUACUGACGCUGAGGCACGAAAGCGUGGGGAGCAAACAGGAUUAGAUACCCUGGUAGUCCACGCCGUAAACGAUGAGUACUAAGUGUUGGUGUAAAUCAGUGCUGAAGUUAACGCAUUAAGUACUCCGCCUGAGUAGUACGUACGCAAGUAUGAAACUUAAAGGAAUUGACGGGAGCCCGCACAAGCGGUGGAGCAUGUUGUUUAAUUCGAGGAUACGCGAAGAACCUUACCAGGUCUUGACAUCCAACUAACGAACUAGAGAUAGAUUAGGUGCCCUUCGGGGAAAGUUGAGACAGGUGGUGCAUGGUUGUCGUCAGCUCGUGUCGUGAGAUGUUGGGUUAAGUCCCGCAACGAGCGCAACCCCUGCCAUUAGUUGCUACGCAAGAGCACUCUAAUGGGACCGCUACCGACAAGGUGGAGGAAGGUGGGGACGACGUCAAAUCAUCAUGCCCCUUAUGACCUGGGCUACACACGUAAUACAAUGGCCGUUAACAGAAGGAAGCGAAACCGCGAGGUGGAGCAAAACCCCAAAAACGGUCUCAGUUCGGAUUGCAGGCUGCAACUCGCCUGUAUGAAGUCGGAAUUGCUAGUAAUCGCGGAUCAGCAUGCCGCGGUGAAUACGUUCCCGGGCCUUGCACACACCGCCCGUCA
rnacentral:rRNA from 1 species